GAUGAACGCUGGCGGCGUGCCUAAUACAUGCAAGUCGAGCGAACGGACGAGAAGCUUGCUUCUUUGAUGUUAGCGGCGGACGGGUGAGUAACACGUGGAAAACCCACCUAUAAGACUGGGAUAACCUCGGGAAACCGGAGCUAACACCGGAGAAUAUCCUGAACCGCAUGGUUCAAAAGUGAAAGACGGUCUUGCUGUCACUUAUAGCGGGAUCCGCGCUGCUUUAGCUAGUUGGUAAGGUAACGGCUUACCAAGGCAACGAUGCAUAGCCGACCUGAGAGAGGGGUCGGCCACACUGGAACUGGAACACGGUCCAGACUCCUACGAGAGGCAGCAGUAGGGAAUCUUACGCAGUGGGCGAGAACCUGACGGAACGACGCGACGUGAGUGAUAAAGAUCUUCGGAUCGUGAAACUCUGUUAUUGGGGGAGAACAUAUGUGUAAGGAGCUGUACACAUCUUGACGGUACCUAGUCAGAAAGCCACGGCUAACUACGUG
rnacentral:rRNA from 1 species